GGUGGCUCAGUGGUAGAGCACAUGCCUCACAUUCGUGAGGCCCUGGGUUCGAUUCCUUAGCACCA
rnacentral:tRNA from 1 species